GACGAACGCUGGCGGCGUGCUUAACACAUGCAAGUCGACGACGCUACUGAGUAGCAAUAUUUAGUAGUGGAGUGGCGCAAGGGUGAGUAAUGUAUACGUAACCAACCCAUCGGAGACGGAUAACAUUUCGAAAGGGAUGCUAAAACGGCAUGAAGCCACGAUUUCGCAUGAGAUUGUGGUUAAAGAACCGGUAACAGGUUGCCGAUGGCUGGGCGUAUAUCCGAUUAGCUAGUUGGUAGUGUAAUGGACUACCAAGGCGACGAUCGGUAGCUGGUCUGAGAGGAUGAUCAGCCACACUGGCACUGAGACACGGGCCAGACUCCUACGGGAGGCAGCAGUGGGGAAUAUUGGGCAAUGCCCGCAAGGGUGACCCAGCAACGCCGCAUGGAGGAUGAAGGCCGUAAGGUUGUAAACUCUGACAAGCAGGGAAGAACGGCUAUGGUAAAAGGCCAUAGAAUGACGGUACCUGCCUGAAGCCCCGGCUAACUACGUG
rnacentral:rRNA from 1 species